rnacentral:rRNA from 1 species
CGGAGGCAGCAGUGGGGAAUUUUGGACAAUGGGCGCAAGCCUGAUCCAGCCAUGCCGCGUGCGGGAAGAAGGCCUUCGGGUUGUAAACCGCUUUUGUCAGGGAAGAAACGCCUUGGGCUAAUACCCCCGAGGUAAUGACGGUACCUGAAGAAUAAGCACCGGCUAACUACGUGCCAGCAGCCGCGGUAAUACGUAGGGUGCAAGCGUUAAUCGGAAUUACUGGGCGUAAAGCGUGCGCAGGCGGUUAUGCAAGACAGAUGUGAAAUCCCCGGGCUUAACCUGGGAACUGCAUUUGUGACUGCAUGGCUAGAGUGCGGCAGAGGGGGAUGGAAUUCCGCGUGUAGCAGUGAAAUGCGUAGAUAUGCGGAGGAACACCGAUGGCGAAGGCAAUCCCCUGGGCCUGCACUGACGCUCAUGCACGAAAGCGUGGGGAGCAAACAGGAUUAGAUACCCUGGUAGG